GAUGAACGCUAGCUACAGGCUUAACACAUGCAAGUCGCGGGGCAUCAUGGAGGUUGCUUUGCAAUUUUCUGAUGGCGACCGGCGCACGGGUGAGUAACGCGUAUCCAACCUUCCCAUUACUACGGCAUACCCCGUUGAAGGCGGCCUAAUUCCGUAUGCAGUCCGAAGCAGUCAUCUAAUUUGGACGAAAGGUAUAUUCUAUCGGUAAUGGAUGGGGAUGCGUCCGAUUAGCCAGCCGGCGGGGUAACGGCCCACCGGGGCAUUGAUCGGUAGGGGUUCUGAGAGGAAGGUCCCCCACACUGGAACUGAGACACGGUCCAGACUCCUACGGGAGGCAGCAGUGAGGAAUAUUGGUCAAUGGGCGUAAGCCUGAACCAGCCAAGUAGCGUGCAGGAUGACGGCCCUAUGGGUUGUAAACUGCUUUUAUGCGGGGAUAAAGUUGGGGACGUGUCCCUUUUUGCAGGUACCGCAUGAAUAAGGACCGGCUAAUUCCGUGCCAGCAGCCGCGGUAAUACGGAAGGUCCGGGCGUUAUCCGGAUUUAUUGGGUUUAAAGGGAGCGUAGGCAGUUUUUUAAGCGUGCUGUGAAAUGUACCGGCUCAACCGGUGAUGUGCAGCGCGAACUGGGAAUCUUGAGUACGCAGUAAGCAGGCGGAAUUCGUGGUGUAGCGGUGAAAUGCUUAGAUAUCACGAAGAACUCCGAUUGCGUAGGCAGCUUGCUGUAGCGUAACUGACGCUGAAGCUCGAAAGUGCGGGUAUCGAACAGG
rnacentral:rRNA from 1 species